CCCAAAUAAUCAUAAACAAUCAACAAAUAAACACGUUUGUAUUCCAGUAUUUUUAUUUAGACAAAAAGUGCAGACUCCUAGUCUGAGUAACUCACGCAUAGUCAUACACUUGAUGACUCUUAGACCCUGACUAGGACCUGGAACUCCUUUCUACCGUAUUAUACUACUGGCCAUAUAACUAAUUUUGCACUUAUUAUACGCUUCCCGGUCUAAAUUUGUGUCUACAUACUGUCUUUCAGUAGCGCAAGAGAUACUGGGAUGGUAUCAGCAGGGCCUGGCAGAGGACAGACAUUCAGUGCAGCUGGUUGAUGAGCAUGCUGGUCCCCACCCAGCUGCAGUUUGGUACCGUGGAUCUGGCUCACCACGAGGUCGACUUAAGUCUUAGGUGAAUACCUUUUGACUGAUGAUGUUCUGGAGAGACAGCUCAGCAGUGAAGCACAUUUUCUGCUCUCAUGGAGGCCCUGGGUCCAGUUCCUAAUAUCCACAUGGCUGCUCACAACCACCUUUAACUCCAAUUCCAACACGGCUCCUGCACUUUUCGGGCUCCUGCACGCAUGUGGUGCACACGCAGAGAAUAAAAACACGUCUUUUAAGGCUAUAUCAUAUGAGGUGUAAAUAAACAUACACGGGUACGUGGGUAUACCAUUUAUGUAAACCGUGAGAAAGUGUGGAAAAAAUAAAAGAGAGACAUUUCCACCAGGUCUAACUAGGCAACAAAUGGCAAGGCUGGCAUUUAAAACAAAACAAAACAGUUUGACUUUAAAUUCUGCAGGCGUUUCCCAUUCCUUUCUUUAGUGAUUCUACUUUAUUUAAUGAAAUGGCCUAGGCAGAUAACGCAAUGGGAAACUCACAGUUUGUAAUUUCUCUUCUUAACUUUUGGGCAGAUGAAGGGUGUGGAGCUGUUUUUCUCCCGGGGAGAUCUGUCCUUUUUUAAAUAGAAAAAUAUUCUCAGGACGCUUCCCACUUCCCAUCCAGAAAACCGCCACUGUUCAGAUCUAGGAAAGGCUUAACAGGAUUAGAGCUACGGCUCGGGCUGACCUCGCUGACCCACGGACCGCGACUCCACGGGAAGGCGGGGACGCUGUUUCUUUGACUGCCGGGCGUAGCGAACCUCCGCAAGGACAGGCCGUCAGCGAGCUCCGCGGCGUCUGCGCUGCAGCGCAGCUUCCUCCCGCCACGGGAUUCCGUAGCUUCCGCUUCCGGUGCGGAGGUCCUGGAGUCCGAGUGCUGAGACCACCAGCUCUUGGAGAAUGAAGAUUU
rnacentral:lncRNA from 1 species